rnacentral:lncRNA from 1 species
AUGUCCAUCAUCCACUCUCCAAGCGACUCAGGGCAUGGUGAUCGGGUCUUGAUUGUUUUGAUCAAUCAAGCUAAUCCAAACCUCCUUGCAGGUGAUUGUUUUAGAAAUAAAAACAGAAGUGAUGAGCCUCCCUGGGUGACCGAAGGCACUGCCGGCAACAGGCACUUGUUGACGAUGACCAGGAACGAUGGGGCUGGGGAAGCCAGCUGGAUUGAUAUGCUGAUACCAUUUUCAGACCCGAACGAGGACCUUGGGGCCCAUGUGGUGCCACUCCCACAUUUUAAACAUGGAGAAACUGGGGCACCGAAGGCAACAGCUGCUGUCCCUGAGGCACUAGCUAGCAGAGGACCCUUUCACACCCGUGCCUCCAGACAUGGUCAGUGCUCUUCCCUCUGCAAUCAGCCGCCUCUCCUAAAGCCUGAAGGUCAACAGCCAGCGUUUCAAGGGCAGCUCCACAAAGGACAUGACCACGUGGGCUCUGGGAGAUAUCUUCCCCUUUCCCCACCUCAGUUUCCCCACUGGGAAAAUCAGCCUUAUAACGUGUGACUCCCGGGGCCAUGGUGAGCUAGCCUUAGAGGAAACAGUGCUUGGAAUGUUCCUAGCGGAGUGCCUGUUACAUAGCUGAUUCCCAGCUCCUGACUCCCUUCUCCUCUACCCGGGCACAUGAGGCCUUUCAGGACAUGCAGAGAUGAAGAGUGUCUUUCGUGGCUGGGAAGGGUCAGCUGUGCAGAGGGUCUCGGCUGCUCAGACCCGUCUCAUCCUUCAGGAGACAAAUUUGGAGCUCAAUCCUGCAUCAGUGUGCUCUUACUCUGAAGAGACUCUCCUCCCUGCUCACUCCUGACAAACCCCCAAGGAAACAGAGCUUCUAAACACAGACUUUCCAAUUUUCCUAGUAAAAUGAAUGAAAGAACCUUUUGGGGAAUAAAGUGAUUUCUUUUUAGCUCCA